AGCCUAAACCUUUGGAAACAAAGGCAUGGUGAAAGAAAACUGCAACAGUAAUAAAGAACCCAUCAUAUGGGGCACUGUUGCAGUCAUAUCGGGAAACCGAUAUGGGGAGCGAAAGCUCUC
rnacentral:sRNA from 12 species